UACGUAGGGGGCGAGCGUUGUCCGGAUUUAUUGGGCGUAAAGAGCUCGUAGGCGGUCUGUCGCGUCGGAUGUGAAAACCCAGGGCUCAACUCUGGGCCUGCAUUCGAUACGGGCAGACUAGAGUACGGCAGGGGAGACUGGAAUUCCUGGUGUAGCGGUGAAAUGCGCAGAUAUCAGGAGGAACACCGGUGGCGAAGGCGGCCUGCUGGGCAGUGGCUGACGCUGAGGCGCGACAGCGUGGGGAGCAAACAGG
rnacentral:rRNA from 1 species